rnacentral:lncRNA from 1 species
GAGAGGAAUUCGUAGACAGAUAUAACAGUGUGCACUAGGCCUUCCAAUGAGGGGGAUGAGCAACAAUACCCCUCAGUUAAAUCGCAGCUUAUCACAAGGCACUCAGUUACCGAGCCACGUCACGCCAACAACAGGGGUACCAACAAUGUCACUUCACACGCCUCCAUCUCCAAGCAGGGGUAUUUUGCCUAUGAAUCCUAGGAAUAUGAUGAACCACUCCCAGGUUGGUCAGGGCAUUGGAAUUCCUAGCAGGACAAAUAGCAUGAGCAGUUCAGGGUUAGGUAGCCCCAACAGAAGCUCGCCAAGCAUAAUAUGUAUGCCAAAGCAGCAGCCUUCUCGACAGCCUUUUACUGUGAACAGUAUGUCUGGAUUUGGAAUGAACAGGAAUCAGGCAUUUGGAAUGAAUAACUCCUUAUCAAGUAACAUUUUUU